rnacentral:rRNA from 1 species
UACGGAGGGUGCAAGCGUUAUCCGGAUUCACUGGGCUUAAAGGGUGCGUAGGUGGGCAGGUAAGUCAGCUGUGAAAUCCCCGAGCUUAACUUGGGAACUGCCAUUGAUACUAUCUGUCUUGAAUACCUUGGAGGUGAGCGGAAUAUGUCAUGUAGCGGUGAAAUGCUUAGAUAUGACAUAGAACACCAAUUGCGAAGGCAGCUCACUGGACGGUCACUGGCACUGAGGCACGAAAGCGUGGGGAUCAAACAGG